GAUGAACGCUGGCGGCGCGCUUAACACAUGCAAGUCGAACGAUGAAGCCCAGCUUGCUGGGUGGAUUAGUGGCGAACGGGUGAGUAACACGUGAGUAACCUGCCCUUAACUCUGGGAUAAGCCUGGGAAACUGGGUCUAAUACCGGAUAGGAGCGUCCACCGCAUGGUGGGUGUUGGAAAGAUUUAUCGGUUUUGGAUGGACUCGCGGCCUAUCAGCUUGUUGGUGAGGUAAUGGCUCACCAAGGCGACGACGGGUAGCCGGCCUGAGAGGGUGACCGGCCACACUGGGACUGAGACACGGCCCAGACUCCCACGGGAGGCAGCAGUGGGGAAUAUUGCACAAUGGGCGCAAGCCUGAUGCAGCGACGCCGCGUGAGGGAUGACGGCCUUCGGGUUGUAAACCUCUUUCAGUAGGGAAGAAGCGAAAGUGACGGUACCUGCAGAAGAAGCACCGGCUAACUACGUGCCAGCAGCCGCGGUAAUACGUAGGGUGCGAGCGUUAUCCGGAAUUAUUGGGCGUAAAGAGCUCGUAGCGGUUUGUCGCGUCUGUCGUGAAAGUCCGGGGCUUAACCCCGGAUCUGCGGUGGGUACGGGCAGACUAGAGUGCAGUAGGGGAGACUGGAAUUCCUGGUGUAGCGGUGGAAUGCGCAGAUAUCAGGAGGAACACCGAUGGCGAAGGCAGGUCUCUGGGCUGUAACUGACGCUGAGGAGCGAAAGCAUGGGGAGCGAACAGGAUUAGAUACCCUGGUAGUCCAUGCCGUAAACGUUGGGCACUAGGUGUGGGGACCAUUCCACGGUUUCCGCGCCGCAGCUAACGCAUUAAGUGCCCCGCCUGGGGAGUACGGCCGCAAGGCUAAAACUCAAAGGAAUUGACGGGGGCCCGCACAAGCGGCGGAGCAUGCGGAUUAAUUCGAUGCAACGCGAAGAACCUUACCAAGGCUUGACAUGUUCUCGAUCGCCGUAGAGAUACGGUUUCCCCUUUGGGGCGGGUUCACAGGUGGUGCAUGGUUGUCGUCAGCUCGUGUCGUGAGAUGUUGGGUUAAGUCCCGCAACGAGCGCAACCCUCGUUCCAUGUUGCCAGCACGUAAUGGUGGGGACUCAUGGGAGACUGCCGGGGUCAACUCGGAGGAAGGUGAGGACAACGUCAAAUCAUCAUGCCCCUUAUGUCUUGGGCUUCACGCAUGCUACAAUGGCCGGUACAAUGGGUUGCGAUACUGUGAGGUGGAGCUAAUCCCAAAAAGCCGGUCUCAGUUCGGAUUGGGGUCUGCAACUCGACCCCAUGAAGUCGGAGUCGCUAGUAAUCGCAGAUCAGCAACGCUGCGGUGAAUACGUUCCCGGGCCU
rnacentral:rRNA from 1 species